ensembl:lncRNA
AUUUAUGUUGCACUGCAUGUUAUUUGUGCAGACAAUAGUCAUUGUCAUUAAUUGCAUAUUCGUAUAGUACUCUGUAUAGCUUUAUUUGCUUAUGACAUAGCAUUAUUAGUGUUUAUUUGAUUAAAGUGCAAACAGUUUUAUUAGUCAGCUUUCAUUCACAGUUAGUGUCGUCAUGAACAAGAGGAAGGGUGGCAGUGACAUUCAUCAGGUUUUUGGGCUGCCACAUAACAGAAAAGUUGAGAGCAGUGAGAAAAUGAGUACCAGUCAGCUGAUAGAAGUAUACAGUAGCACAAGAGGUGAGUCAAUGUUUAUUUAUACAAUACUCAUUGCCAUUCAGAUCAGAAAUGGUUAGUAAUCCAUUCCUGAACAUCAUGGCAAAAACACCACUUGUUUACUGAUAUUUCUUUCAUGUUCACUCCGGUGCGUUCAGAGUAAAUAGAGGGAGAGAGAGGGUAUGAGGAUGUCAACAGAGUAGGGAGAGCAGAUGACAUGGAGUUGAUUGAGAAAAGGAGCAAAUAUUGAUGACCGAUCUGAUACCGCCAUGUUGGUGUUGUUCCGACAACAUCAUAAUUAAUGGUGGCAGAACUGAGGUUAGGUUUAGGCAAAGUUACCAAUGAGCUUAGGUAUAGGCACAGCUGUCUCUGAGGUUAGGGUUAGGUCAAAAAUAUUUGGACUGGGGUAACCGACUAACUACAGGUCAGUUGCAAUGAUGGUCUUGGAGUAACAUUAAUUAUGAUGUUGUAGGAACAACACCAACACAGUGAUAUCAGAUUGUGUGAAUAUUGAUGGUUAAGAGUCUUAUAAAUAUUUUAAACAUUUUUGAAUGUUUUACUUUGGGGGACCCCCAGACUCCUGGCUGAUUUGGUCCCCCCAAUGUUGACUCCAUGGCUAUGGCCUUGGCGUCAAGACCAGAACAUGUGGAGCGCUCCCGUGGACUUCAGCAGCUUUGCUUUCUCACAAGCCUUGCUCCUUGUCGGUGUGGAAGCCUCUUAACGUGCAUGGGAUUUGUUUUGGGACCAACAUUAAGUAAUCAAUUACUAAAUUAACCAAUCCAUCAGCCAGCUAACUUUAUUUGUUAUGAGGUACCACAAUGUGCUGAAGCACAGCUCAGGGAAGGAAACUGAUAUGAAACUCCAGGCAUGUCCAACAUGGCUUAGCAGUUAUCAUAAUCUGCUUUAUAUACAAUAACAUCAAUUACACUAGACUAAUAACUGAAGACUGAGGAGGGUCAUCGUGCAUGAGUCUGAUUAAAUGUAGAAAGUCGAUAAAACAAAGGAAAAGCAAUAGCAACAGUAGAAUACAUUCAUCCAGUCUGCCUCCAAUAAUCAUUAUUCAUCUUUGUCUCAUUAAGAGGUCAGUGUCAUUAAGAAAAGGUAUAUUUCAGUGGCAGGACAGGAAGUCAGUGUGGUUAAGGGAAGAGUCAGGUCAUAUUUUAGAGUCAGGCCAACAGGUCAGUCUCUUUAAGGGACGGGUAUAUUAUAAGGGCAAGACAAGAGUUAAGUCUAGUUAAGGGAAGAGCAUAUUUUAGAGUCAGGAAAACAGGUCAGUCUCUUUAAAGGAAGGGUAUAUUUUAGAGUAAGGAUAACAGGUCAGUCUCUUGAUGGGACAGGUAUAUUUUAGAGUAAGGACAACAGGUCAGUCUCUUUAAGGGAAGGGUAUAUUUUACAGUCAGGACAACAGGUCAGUCUCUUUAAGGGAAGGGUAUAUUUUACAGUCAGGACAACAGGUCAGUCUCUUUAAGGGAAGGGUAUAUUUUACAGUCAGGACAACAGGUCAGUCUCUUUAAGGGAAGGGUAUAUUUUACAGUCAGGACAACAGGUCAG